GAUGAACGCUGGCGGCGUGCCUAAUACAUGCAAGUCGAGCGAACAGACCCUGCUCUUGCUCUUCUCACGUUAGCGACGGACGGGUGAGUAACACGUGGUUAACCUUCCUCUACGACUUUAUUUUCUUCGGCUAACUCUAGUUACUACCAGCUACCAUCUUUAACCGGAUGGUUCAACAGUUCAUUCGGUUUUUGCUGUCCUUGCUACCUGUCUCCUCGGUGCAUUAGCUAGUUGGUAAGGUAAAGGCUUACUAAGGCAACCAUGCGUAGCCGACCUGAGAGGGUGAUCGGCCACACUGGAACGGAGACACGGACCAGACUCGUACGGGAGGCAGCAGUAGGGAAUCUUCCGCAAUGGGCGAAAGUCUGACGGAGCAACGAAGCGUGAGUGAAGAAGGUCUUCGGAGCGUAAAACUCUGUUAGUAGGGAAGAACAAAUGUGUAAGGAACAAGGCACGUCGUGACGGUACCUAAACAGAAAGCCACGGCUAACUACGUG
rnacentral:rRNA from 1 species